rnacentral:rRNA from 2 species
UUUUGGUGGAGCAUGUGGUUUAAUUCGAAGCAACGCGAAGAACCUUACCAGGUCUUGACAUCCUUUGCCACUUCUAGAGAUAGAAGGUUCCCCUUCGGGGGACAAAGUGACAGGUGGUGCAUGGUUGUCGUCAGCUCGUGUCGUGAGAUGUUGGGUUAAGUCCCGCAACGAGCGCAACCCUUGAUCUUAGUUGCCAGCAUUCAGUUGGGCACUCUAAGGUGACUGCCGGUGACAAACCGGAGGAAGGUGGGGAUGACGUCAAAUCAUCAUGCCCCUUAUGACCUGGGCUACACACGUGCUACAAUGGAAA